rnacentral:rRNA from 1 species
UGGGGGAUAUUGCACAAUGGAGGAAACUCUGAUGCAGCAACGCCGCGUGAGGGAAGAAGGUCUUCGGAUUGUAAACCUUAGUAGUCAGGGACGAAAGAAAUGACGGUACCUGAAGAGUAAGCUCCGGCUAACUACGUGCCAGCAGCCGCGGUAAUACGUAGGGAGCGAGCGUUGUCCGGAUUUACUGGGUGUAAAGGGUGCGUAGGCGGGACUGCAAGUCAGACGUGAAAUACCGAGGCUUAACUUCGGGGCUGCGUUUGAAACUGUGGUUCUUGAGUGAAGUAGAGGCAGGCGGAAUUCCUAGUGUAGCGGUGAAAUGCGUAGAUACUAGGAGGAACACCAGUGGCGAAGGCGGCCUGCUGGGCUUUAACUGACGCUGAAGCACGAAAGCAUGGGGAGCAAACAGGA